CAGUAGCCACGGUAAUACGAAGGGGGCUAGCGUUGCUCGGAAUUACUGGGCGUAAAGGGCGCGUAGGCGGACAGUUCAGUCGGGGGUGAAAGCCCGGGGCUCAACCUCGGAAUUGCCUUCGAUACUGGCUGUCUUGAGUAUGAGAGAGGUGUGUGGAACUCCGAGUGUAGAGGUGAAAUUCGUAGAUAUUCGGAAGAACACCAGUGGCGAAGGCGGCUACCUGGACUGAGACUGACACUGAGGCGCGAGAGCGUGGGGAGCAAACAGGAUUAGAUACCCGUGUAGUCCCUGUCUCUUAUAC
rnacentral:rRNA from 1 species